rnacentral:rRNA from 1 species
GAUGAACGCUGGCGGCGUGCCUAAUACAUGCAAGUCGAGCGAACAGACGAGGAGCUUACUCCUCUGACGUUAGCGGCGGACGGGUGAGUAACACGUGGAUAACCUACCUAUAAGACUGGGAUAACUUCGGGAAACCGGAGCUAAUACCGGAUAACAUGUUGAACCGCAUGGUUCAACAGUGAAAGACGGUCUUGCUGUCACUUAUAGAUGGAUCCGCGUCGCAUUAGCUAGUUGGUAAGGUAACGGCUUACCAAGGCAACGAUGCGUAGCCGACCUGAGAGGGUGGUCGGCCACACUGGAACUGAGACACGGUCCCAGCUCCUACGGGAGGCAGCAGUAGGGAAUCUUCCGCAAUGGGCGGAAGCCUGACGGAGCAACGCCGCGGGAGUUGAGGAGGUCUUCGGAUCGUAAAACUCUGUUAUUAGGGAAGAACAAAUGUGUAAGUAACUAUGCACGUCUUGACGGUACCUAAUCAGAAAGCCACGGCUAACUACGUG